rnacentral:rRNA from 1 species
AUGCCGAUUGCGAAGAUGGCGGAGAGACUGCUAUGCCAACGCAUGGGCGUUGUGGAUGAAGGCCAGCAAGUCACAGAGGAAGCCAUUGACAAAUUUGUGGCUAUGUUCCAAGGGCAGCUCCCUAACAUCGCGGUGGUGGCUCUCCGGGCACUGUUCAACCUCGACUGCGACUUGGCGCAUGCCGUUGAGGAUGCCCAGGUGGCACACGGUGGUGAGGCGGGACCAGAGAUGCAGGCAGCAGCGGGGGAUGCGUUCGACGCGGCGGAGUGA